AAAAAAUUAAUCAAACUUUUGUUUCUUUUUAUUAUUUUCAAUUAUUAUCUUUUUCUUUUUUUUCUUUUUUUUCAUUUUAAAA
rnacentral:ribozyme from 1 species